CACUGCUUCCCGCAUCCCACCUCAGGGUUGCCUCCUGGUACCUUCCCGUGUAGGAAAAUGAUUUUGUCCCGCGCAGACUCCCUCAGCACCUUCUGCAGUCUGAAGCCGGAGAACGGUAAGCGGACAGGAGCACAGUCAUCUGCCAGAAGAAAAAUGGUGAUUCUUCCCAGUCCAAAGGUGAAGAUGGUGACUGUGAAAGUAUCAGCUUUAGCCAGACCACUGAUGAAGCUCCCAGAUGUCACAGCAUCCAUGGGCUUGUGAUCUCAGGUGAAGGCAUUGAACCCUGAGCCCUGGAUUCCCAUCUCUUCACUUGCUCCCUCCACCACCCCACCCCCAUAUUCAGAAUGGCCUCUAGGCUUCUAGGUUUGUGUCUUUAAUGGCACCUAGGCAAUAAAUAAAAAAUACAGUGCAGUGCUGACUGCAUCUUCCCUACA
rnacentral:lncRNA from 1 species